AGCUAGUUGGUGGGGUAAUGGCCCACCAAGGCGACGAUCAGUAGCUGGUCUGAGAGGAUGAUCAGCCACACAGGGACUGAGACACGGCCCAGACUCCUACGGGAGGCAGCAGUGGGGAAUUUUCCGCAAUGGGCGAAAGCCUGACGGAGCAACGCCGCGUGAGGGAUGAAGGCCUCUGGGCUGUAAACCUCUUUUCUCAAGGAAGAAGACAUGACGGUACUUGAGGAAUAAGCCACGGCUAAUUCCGUGCCAGCAGCCGCGGUAAUACGGGAGUGGCAAGCGUUAUCCGGAAUUAUUGGGCGUAAAGCGUCCGCAGGCGGCCUUGUAAGUCUGUCGUUAAAGCGUGGAGCUUAACUCCAUUUAAGCGAUGGAAACUACAAGGCUUGAGUGUGGUAGGGGCAGAGGGAAUUCCCGGUGUAGCGGUGAAAUGCGUAGAUAUCGGGAAGAACACCAGUGGCGAAGGCGCUCUGCUGGGCCAUAACUGACGCUCAUGGACGAAAGCCAGGGGAGCGAAAGGGAUUAGAUACCCCUGUAGUCCUGGCCGUAAACGAUGAACACUAGGUGUCGGGGGAAUCGACCCCCUCGGUGUCGUAGCUAACGCGUUAAGUGUUCCGCCUGGGGAGUACGCACGCAAGUGUGAAACUCAAAGGAAUUGACGGGGGCCCGCACAAGCGGUGGAGUAUGUGGUUUAAUUCGAUGCAACGCGAAGAACCUUACCAGGGUUUGACAUCCUGCAAAUCCCUUGGAAACUUGGGAGUGCCUUCGGGAGCGCAGAGACAGGUGGUGCAUGGCUGUCGUCAGUUCGUGUCGUGAGAUGUUGGGUUAAGUCCCGCAACGAGCGCAACCCACGUCUUUAGUUGCCAGCAUUCAGUUGGGCACUCUAGAGAGACCGCCGGUGAUAAACCGGAGGAAGGUGUGGAUGACGUCAAGUCAUCAUGCCCCUUACAUCCUGGGCUACACACGUACUACAAUGCUACGGACAAAGGGCAGCAAGCUCGCGAGAGUUAGCAAAUCCCAUAAACCGUGGCUCAGUUCAGAUCGUAGGCUGCAACUCGCCUACGUGAAGGAGGAAUCGCUAGUAAUCGCAGGUCAGCAUACUGCGGUGAAUACGUUCCCGGGCCUUGUACACACCGCCCGUCACACCAUGGAAGUUGGCCAUGCCCGGAGUCGUUACUCCAACCCUUGUGGAGGAGGACGCCGAAGGUGGGGCUGAUGACUGGGGUGAAGUCGUAACAAGGUAGCCGUACCGGAAGGUGCGGCUG
rnacentral:rRNA from 1 species